rnacentral:rRNA from 1 species
CCUACGGGGAGCAGCAGUGAGGAAUAUUGGUCAAUGGCCGGAAGGCUGAACCAGCCAUGCCGCGUGAAGGUCAGUGCCCUAUGGGCGUUAAACUUCUUUUGUGCGGGAGCAAUAAUGGUCACGUGUGGCCAGACGAGAGUACCGUACGAAUAAGCAUCGGCUAACUCCGUGCCAGCAGCCGCGGUAAUACGGGGGAUGCAAGCGUUAUCCGGAUUUAUUGGGUUUAAAGGGUGCGUAGGCUGUGAGGUAAGUCAGCGGUGAAAUGCCCCCGCUCAACGGGGUGAAGUGCCAUUGAUACUGCCUGGCUGGAAUGCGGAUGCCGUGGGAGGAAUGUGUGGUGUAGCGGUGAAAUGCAUAGAUAUCACACAGAACACCGAUUGCGAAGGCAUCUCACGAAGCCGCGAUUGACGCUGAUGCACGAAAGCGUGGGUAUCAAACAGGAUUAGAUACCCCUGUAGUC